GACGAACCGUCCGAACGUUAUUCGGAAUCACUGGGCUUAAAGGGUGCGUAGGCGGCGCGGAAAGUUGGGUGUGAAAUCCCUCGGCUCAACCGAGGAACUGCGCCCAAAACUACCGUGCUCGAGGGAGAUAGAGGUGAGCGGAACUUAGGGUGGAGCGGUGAAAUGCGUUGAUAUCCUAAGGAACACCGGUGGCGAAAGCGGCUCACUGGAUCUCUUCUGACGCUGAGGCACGAAGGCCAGGGGAGCAAACGGG
rnacentral:rRNA from 1 species